rnacentral:rRNA from 1 species
CACGUAGGCGGCUUGUUAAGUCAGGGGUGAAAUCCUGGAGCUCAACUCCAGAACUGCCUUUGAUACUGGCGAGCUUGAGUCCGGGAGAGGUGAGUGGAACUGCGAGUGUAGAGGUGAAGUUCGUAGAUAUUCGCAAGAACACCAGUGGCGAAGGCGGCUCACUGGCCCGGUACUGACGCUGAGGUGCGAAAGCGUGGGAGCAAACA